CGAUUCCGGAGAGGGAGCCUGAGAAAUGGCUACCACAUCCAAGGAUGGCAGCAGGCGCGCAAAUUACCCACUCCCAGCUUGGGGAGGUAGUGACGAAAAAUAACAAUGCGGGACUCUAAGAGGCCCCGUAAUUGGAAUGAGUACACCUUAAAUCGUUUAACGAGUAUCAAUUGGAGGGCAAGUCUGGUGCCAGCAGCCGCGGUAAUUCCAGCUCCAAUAGCGUAUAUUAAAGUUGCUGCAGUUAAAAAGCUCGUAGUUGGAUCUGGGGCUUGAGGUCGCUGUCUAUCGUUUCGGCGAUGACGGUGAUGCUCAGCUCUGCUUGCCGGUGACUGUUGCGGUGUUCUUCACUGAGCGCUGUAGCAGCACGGCACGUUUACUUUGAAAAAAUUAGAGUGCUCAAAGCGUGCUCGUCGCUUGAAUAAUGUUGCAUGGAAUAAUGGAAUAGGACCUCGGUUCUAUUUUGUUGGUUUUCGGAGCUUGAGGUAAUGAUUAAGAGGGACGAACGGGGGCAUUCGUAUUGCGGUGUUAGAGGUGAAAUUCUUGGAUCGCCGCAAGACGGACUACUGCGAAAGCAUUUGCCAAGAACGCUUUCAUUAAUUAAGAACGAAAGUCAGAGGUUCGAAGACGAUCAGACACCGUCCUAGUUCUGACCAUAAACGAUGCCGACCAGCGAUCCGUAGUGGUUGCUUUAUGGACCCUACGGGCAGCCUCCGGGAAACCAAAGUAUUUGGGUUCCGGGGGAAGUAUGGUUGCAAAGCUGAAACUUAAAGGAAUUGACGGAAGGGCACACCAGGAGUGGAGCCUGCGGCUUAAUUUGACCCAACACGGGAAAACUCACCCGGUCCGGACACCGUAAGGAUUGACAGACUGAUAGCUCUUUCUUGAUUCGGUGGAUGGUGGUGCAUGGCCGUUCUUAGUUGGUGGAGUGAUUUGUCUGGUUAAUUCCGAUAACGAACGAGACUCUAGCCUGCUAAGUAGUGUUGCUAUUGUUAUAUGGUUGACACUUCUUAGAGGGACAAGUGGCAUUUAGCCACGCGAAAUUGAGCAAUAACAGGUCUGUGAUGCCCUUAGAUGUCCGGGGCCGCACGCGCGCUACACUGGAGAAGUCAGCGUGUGUUAUCCAAGUCCGAAAGGACUGGGUAAUCCGUUGAACCUUCUUCGUGCUUGGGACUGUGGCUUGGAACUAUUCCACAUGAACGAGGAAUUCCUAGUAAUUGCAAGUCAUAAGCUUGCGUUGAUUACGUCCCUGCCCUUUGUACACACCGCCCGUCGCUACUACCGAUUGAAUGGUUUAGCAAGGUCCUCGGAUCGUGGCCGUAGGGGCACGCAAGUGUUUCUGCGGUUUGCGAGAAGACGACCAAACUUGAUCAUUUAGAGGAAGUAAAAGUCGUAACAAGGUU
rnacentral:rRNA from 1 species